rnacentral:lncRNA from 1 species
CACACACACACACACACACACACACACACAUACACACACAUGACCGCCCUGCACAUGCACACAUACAUCCCACAAACACAGACACACGACGUUCCAACACACACACAAAACACCUGCGCAUACACAUACAUAAAAUGAGAAGCUAUGCAUACAAGAUAAAAUUAGCAUUUGUGAUAAAAAUAUGUCAAAUAACGUAAAUGGGAAAUUCAGACAAUGCCCACAUUAACCUUCAGUAUUUUGCAAAUGCCAAAUAUUUUACUAACUAGUGAAGAAAUGAUGGACAGGUAUUUUAAAUUUCUUCUAAUAGAAGUUGUAUAUCAUUUAUCUGAAAUGCUUGGGAAAAGAAAUAUCUUGGAUUUCAGAAUCUUACUUGCAUAUGCAUACUGAGAUAUUUACCUCAUUUCGGAAUGGAUCACAAUCAUAAACACAAAAUUUGUCGUAGAACCCUUAUUUGCAACUUUUUACAUUUUAAGUGAUUUUGUAUCUGAAAAAAAAAUCAUGGUGUGGAAUUUUCCACUUGUGUUAUCAAGUUGCCACUUUAAAAGUCUUCAAUUCUGGAGCAGUUUGGCCAGAUUCUCAUAUUAGGGUUGCACAAACUGUAGUUAACAAUUCACUUCUAACAAUAGUAUUGAGGACCUCCUCUGAAGUAUACAUUAUUGUAAGCAGUAGAGAUAGGACAGCCAAGGAGAGGAAUGGUCUCAGCUUACUGGUACCUCUCAUUGUACCAGGAGUACCAAAAGGGUCAAUAAAUGAACACAGGGUGGCAACAUCUGUGUCAGCUGACAUCUGAGUAGCCUUGAACAAAAGGCCGAUUUAGAGGCCUGUGGGGGGAUGAGGUGAACCUGGAAAAGCAGAGAGGAGGAAGGAUCGCUGCGCAGAGCAAACUGGAAUGCAUAGAUGAGCUGCAUACAUGGGGCCUUUGAAGUAGACUUUGGAUUUUAUUUUGUGUAAAUAGGAAUAGUUUGGCCUUUUCUUUCCCUAAUGGCAUCCCUUUAUCAUCUUUCCCUUACUAACAGCUCCAGCUCGUACUUGAAGCACUCUACUGUAAAGGAGUGUGGAUAGUGUUCAUGCCUGCCUUGGUCCUGACUUCAGUGGGACUGCUUCAAGUUUUUCUCUACUUAGAUGGUGUUAACUGUGGGUUUCUCGCAUCAUUUUUAUUGUGUUGGGCGUGUUUCCAAUAGCCUUAAAUUUUCUAGGACUCUUAUCACCAAAGCACAUUGGAUUUUGUCAACAGGCUUUUUUCUGCACCUAACGAGAUGAUCAUAUGAUUUUUGCCUUUAAGUCCCUUUCUUAUUACAUUUACUAGCUUGGGUAUGUUGAACCAUCCCUGUAGUUUAGAAGCAAAGCCACCUUGGUCAUAAUAGAUAAUCUUUUCGAUGUAUGUCCAUAUUCUGUUUGCAAGUAUCUUAUUGAGAAUAUUUGAAUCUACGUUUUAUUAGGGAUAUUGGCCUAUAGUUUUAUUUUUUGUUGUUGUUGUCUUUAUUGUUGUGUUUUUCUCUAGUUUUGACAUUAGAGUUUCAUUGGCUUUGUAGAAGGAGAUAGAGAAUGCCUCUUCUGUUUUUAUUUUUAAAAAUAUUUUAAGAAGGUUGUAUUUAUAUAUUUAGAACUAGUAGUGGUACAUGAGAGUGUUUUAGGUGAGGAAAGAAAGAAGGAUAUGAUGCAAUUAUAUUAUAAUCUCAAAACUAAAAGAACUAAUAAUAAGAAAACUAAAAGUAAAAAAAAAACAUAAAUCUAUAGACUGUGCAAUGCUGAGUAGGCCUAAUAUAAAUAUAGAUUUGAGAAGAUGAUGAGUUCAGAUAUAAUCACUAAGUACAUCAUGUAGCACUGGGAUGAUGAUAAUGAGAGGCCAUGCCCUUCUGGGACAGGAAUAUUUGGGAACUCUGUACCUUAUGCUCAAUGACUCAAUUUGAACUUAAAACUGUUCUAAGAAAUACAAUCUUGAAAAAAAGUUAAAAAGAAAGUACCAGCAAACUUAGAAGAGUUCCCCAAAAUGAUACAGUACAAAAAUAUGGAAAAACAAGAACACACCAAAUCAAACCCAGUGAAUGGCCUGACACAAUAAAAAUCAUAGCAUAAAUCAGUGAGUUAAAAC